AGGGAUAAAACUGCAUCUAUAUGUGACCGGUGGUCAUGCUGAACUUUUAUUCUGACGGGGUAAACGACACUCCCCUUUCCUUCCGGUAUGUAGCAUAAGUCAUUGCGGUGGUAGCUAGCUAGCAGACGCUGUGUUUUUGAUGCUGUCGAGUGCAGCGUUGGCACGCUGCUCUCUCUGUCCCUCUGUUUGUGGUUGAGCCAUCGUACGGGAAAGGUAGGCGUCCUUCUCGGUUGAUUCAUUGCUCUUUUGGUGCAUUGUAAUGUACUUAGUUUGUUGGUUACUGACGCCAUUUAACUUAAUCGCAGCCCUGUCCAUCCGCAACUGGCGUGAACCCAGCUGGCAGUCGGCUACUGUUCUGGAGCUUGUAUGCCGAGCUCGGCAAACUCGAGUAUCACUGGUGGCGUGCUUCCACUUCGUGCCCUUUGUGGUUGACUACUUGCGUGCCGCUUCGAGAGAACCAAAGGUAAUGUCGUGUUUUCUCUGUCGGCAUGUGCCUGAAUCUGGCAUUUUUUUAUUUAGCGUUUAUUGAUUUGACUUGCAUGUGCCACAGUUUCCUUGAUGCACGGUACCCAGCUGGAACCCGGCGUGACCCAUAUCCCGACUUGCGCUUGGCAGACCUGAUCUGGAGGAGGAGUUGGUGCCUUCGACUACACUGAUGCAGUAUCACUAGAGAAGGGGGGCAUUACUGUUCUUUUCCCAACCUUUUUCUUUUUUUUUGUCCUAUUGUGAAAGUGAUUUAUCCUAUGCAGCCUUUCACUUUGUAACGUCCGAGACGAAGGGGCUCGUGUAAGUUUCACUCUAACAUCCAAGACGAAGGGGCUUGUGUAAUUUUCACUCUAACAUCCAAGACGAAGGGGCUUGUGUAAUUUUCACUCUAACAUCCAAGACGAAGGGGCUUGUGUAAGUUUCACUCUAACAUCCGAGACGAAGGGGCUCGUGUACGUUUCUACUUAGUAACAUCCAAGACGAAGGGGCUUGUGUAGGUUUUUCACUCUAACAUCCGAGACGAAGGGGCUCGUGUAAGUUUCUACUUAGUAACUGCCAAGACGGAGCUUGUGUAUAUGAUUAGGGUAUGAACACUGAAGUAUUACUGGGAGACGCAUCUUAAACCCCAGACUCCUUUUUGGAACCUGUACUUGCUGUAGGGAGAGACCAAAUACGUGUGUCUAACAAGUGUGUGUGUGUGUGCGGUGGCCAUUACCAAUUUUGCCCUUUUGGCAGUUUUGUUUUCUUUUGUUAUCAGUGUGGGGAUUUUGUGUGUUAUUUUGGUUUGUUAUUUUUUUAUUUUGAUUUACUAACUUUGUUUGCAGUGCAAUUUUCUGUUAUUUGGUCUACCUCUCGUGCAACUAGCACACUUGCACAAUUUUGUAUAUUAAGAUGGCGUGCCUACCAAUACUGUGAAAGGUUCACAUUCUAUUUUUAUAUUGUACUGAGCCCAUGAGGCAUAUUUGACACAGAGACUCAUUACGAAAAGGAAAAUAAAAAGAACUCUGAAUUGUAUGACAGUUGUAUCUCUUGUUAUUCACCAACCUGUUGCGGGGAAAGUCAAAUCAAGUGUUUGAUGGUUGGGUUCUCUCACCCUAACAAAUGAGAGUGGCGUAGUCACUAAACAUCUUAAAAAUAUUAAAAAUAUUACGGUAAAGAGAUAACGCAGGCCACAUUUGGCAGUAGUCGGCAAAGG